rnacentral:lncRNA from 10 species
AUGCUUACAUGUGCAUUUACUCAAUGCGUAACAAACUGUGAGGUGAUUAAUAUGAUCUCCAUUUUGCCCAAGUCUCACCAGGAGGUGAAGUGGCUUAUCCAAGGUCACACAACCAAUAAAUGGAGACCUUAAGCCCACCAGGUCUUUUGGCUUCAAACCUUAUCCCACUUCCACUCCACCAUGUUACUUUCCUUUGCAGAAUAUCCACAGGAAUCAGCCCUUUACUAUAUUUUCUCAUUUGCUUUAGCUCUAAAACAUCUUGAGAUGUUUUUGAACAUCAUCAUUGAUGGUCAGACUGUUUUAAAUGUUGAAAAUAUCUGUUUAAUAAGGUAAAUGCUGCUUGUACUCAUUUAGCCUCUACUAAGUCUUCACAAAUGAUGUGAUUUCAUUCCCAAGGAAAAAUGACACUUUCUUUGUUGGGCACACAUACCAAUCCAAUACAAAUGUAGACACUUGAUAGUAGAUCCCACUUUUGCACCCAUGGUGUCCAUGACAGCGCUAUCACGUGUGCCUCAUUCUUUC